rnacentral:lncRNA from 1 species
GGAUGACCACCUGGGUACCAACUUGUGCACCUAAUCUUUGGGCCAUCUGUCCUAGGAGUGCCCUAGCUGUUCACGUGUCAUGCAUGCAGAUCACCUCUGGAACGUGACCCUCACGCGUCGUAUCUCUUCUAGUGGAUCUUUUCUUGUGUUACGCCUGAGCGCGUCAUCCACACCACACGCAUAGGCCCCUCGUGAUCUAGGCUUCUCCCUAACUGAUAAUUGGUGUGUGGUCUGGGAUCCACCUCUCGUGGCUUAGCUCUGCUAUUCGAGUCACCGAUGUCCGAUCUCUCAUCGCCCUCACUAUAUUGUCGAGG